GUCGAACGAGAAUUCGCGCCUUCAGCCGCAAGGUGAGAAGGCGCGGAGGAGAGUGGCGAAAGGGUGAGGAACACGUGGGCAAUCUAUCUCCAAGUUGAGUAUAACCCGUCGAAAGGUGGGCUAAUACUGAAUGUGAUCGUCCCGGGCAUCCGGGAUUGUUUAAAGGCAGGGACCCGCAAGGGCCUGUCACUUUGAGAGGAGCCCGCGUCCUAUCAGCUUGUUGGUGAGGUAACGGCUCACCAAGGCGAUGACGGGUAGCUGGUCUGAGAGGAUGGUCAGCCACACUGGGACUGAGACACUGCCCAGACUCCUACGGGAGGCUGCAGUCGAGGAUCAUUUGCAAUGGGCGCAAGCCUGACAAUGCGACGCUGCGUGGAGGAUGAAGGCCUUCGGGUUGUAAACUCCUGUCAUUUGGGAACAAGCUCGGGGAGGGGAUAAUCCUUUCCGGGGUGAUAGUACCAGAAGAGGAAGUCACGGCUAACUCUGUGCCAGCAGCCGCGGUGAUACAGAGGUGGCAAGCGUUGUUCGGAUUUACUGGGCGUAAAGGGUGCGUAGGUAGUUUUGCAUGUCAGAUGUGAAAGCUCAUCGCUCAACGAUGAAAGUGCAUUUGAAACUGCAGGACUGGAGUACGGGGGAGGAGAGUGGAAUUCUUGGUGUAGCCGGUGAAAUGCGUAGAUAUCAAGAAGAACACCGGUGGCGAAGGCGACUCUCUAUCCCGAUACUGACGCUGAGGCACGAAAGCUGGGGGAGCAAACAGGAUUAGAUACCCUGGUAGUCCCAGCCUUAAACGGUGUACACUUGGUGUGGGAGGAUUUGACCCCUUCUGUGCCGGAGCUAACGCGUUAAGUGUACCGCCUGGGGAGUACGGCCGCAAGGUUAAAACUCAAAGAAAUUGACGGGGGCCCGCACAAGCGGAGGAGCAUGUGGCUUAAUUCGAUGCAACGCGAAGAACCUUACCAGGACUUGACAUGCAACUGCACGUCCCGUGAAAGCG
rnacentral:rRNA from 1 species